rnacentral:rRNA from 1 species
GUGGGGAAUAUUGGACAAUGGACGAAAGCCUGAUCCAGCCAUGCCGCGUGUGUGAAGAAGGUCUUCGGAUUGUAAAGCACUUUAAGUUGGGAGGAAGGGCAUUAACCUAAUACGUUAGUGUUUUGACGUUACCGACAGAAUAAGCACCGGCUAACUUCGUGCCAGCAGCCGCGGUAAUACGAAGGGUGCAAGCGUUAAUCGGAAUUACUGGGCGUAAAGCGCGCGUAGGUGGUUUUGUAAGUUGGAGGUGAAAUCCCCGGGCUCAACCUGGGAACUGCCUCCAAAACUGCAUGACUAGAGUACGGUAGAGGGUAGUGGAAUUUCCUGUGUAGCGGUGAAAUGCGUAGAUAUAGGAAGGAACACCAGUGGCGAAGGCGACUACCUGGACUGAUACUGACACUGAGGUGCGAAAGCGUGGGGAGCAAACAGGAUUAGAAACCCCAGUAGUCC